rnacentral:rRNA from 1 species
CCUACGGGAGGCAGCAGUGGGGAAUAUUGCACAAUGGGGGGAACCCUGAUGCAGCGACGCCGCGUGGGUGAAGGAGUAUUUCGGUAUGUAAAGCCCUAUCAGCAGGGAAGAACAAUGACGGUACCUGACUAAGAAGCACCGGCUAAAUCCGUGCCAGCAGCCGCGGUAAUACGUAGGGUGCAAGCGUUAUCCGGAUUUACUGGGGGUAAGGGGAGCGCAGGCGGCGUGUUAAGCAUGGUGUGAAAGCCCGGGGCACAACCGGGGAACUGCAUUGGGAACUGGCGGGCUGGAGUGCUGGAGGGGUAGGCGGAAUUCCUGGUGUAGCGGUGAAAUGCGUAGAGAUUAGGAGGAAUACCAGUGGCGAAGGCGGCCUACUGGACGGUGACUGACGCUGAGGCUCGAAAGCGUGGGGAGCAAACAGGAUUAGAUACCCUAGUAGUC